GAGGAGCUGCAGCAGUAACAGGACUCACACGGCAGAGGUCCUGGGCACGCAUGGUGUGACCUCCGUGAGGAUGCCACAUUGAUCCUAUGAAUUAUGAUCCACAUUUCAGAUGAGGAAACGUAGUCUCGUGCUGACUGUCACAUCCAUCCGUGCCCACAGGUAAUUGAUGAAGCCAGGUUGCAAGUCCACACUGUCCUUUCAAGGUGCCAACUGAACUGAGAAAUCCCGUCUACAGAGCAGUGAGGAGUAAGAAGUGGAGAUUCCGUCUAAAUGGCAACACAGUCCUUGAGUGUCCCACUCCUCCCCACUUUUUUUAUGGAAAAUUUUCUGUUUGCACCACACAU